CCGGGAUAUCGGGAGGGGGUACCACUGGAGAAGGGGUUGGAGGGGUGGGAACGGGGGGCUGGGUCAGGGCGGUAAGGGCAGAGAUUAGGGACGGCAAAUCAGCCGAGGGGGGAGGAGGCAACGAGGUAGAGGGGGCCGGGACUUCGGGAGGAGGAGGUAACACUGGAGAAGGGGUUGGAGGAGUGGUAACGGGGGGUUGGGUCAGGGCGGUGAGGGCAGAGAUUAGGGACGGCAAAUCGGCCGAGGGAGGAGGAGGCAACGAGGUAGAGGGGGCCGGGACUUCGGGAGGAGGAGGUAACACUGGAGAAGGGGUUGGAGGAGUGGUAACGGGGGGUUGGGUCAGGGCGGUGAGGGCAGAGAUUAGGGACGGCAAAUCGGCCGAGGGAGGAGGAGGCAACGAGGUAGAGGGGGCCGGGACUUCGGGAGGAGGAGGUAACACUGGAGAAGGGGUUGGAGGGGUGGGAACGGGGGGCUGGGUCAGGGCAGUGAGGGCAGAGAUUAGGGAUGGCAAAUCAGUCGGGAGGGGACAACGAGGUAGAAGGGAGGUCCGGAGGCAUAAGGGAAGCGGGAUCAGCGGGAGGACAAGGGUCUGGAGGAUCUGGGGCGGUGGGGUGAGUAAGGUCGAGAGGGCAGAGAGCGGGGCAGCGGAUGGAGACGGGUGAGUGGGUAACACUGGGGAGGGGUCAGUCGAGGUGGAGAGGGGACGAGAGGCAAGCAUAGGUAAAGGUGGCGGGGGACAGGGAGGC